rnacentral:lncRNA from 1 species
UAUGACAUAUAUAGAAUUAAAAAAAAACAUCAAAUAAUUUAUUUUCCCUUUUUUUUUUUUUGUGUUUUUCUUUUUUUUUAUUAGCCUAUACAUUUAUCUUCCAGGAUCAACUUAUUUUUAAGAAAUCAGAGCUGGAUCUUCAAUACAACAUUCCUGAAGAUAUGUUUUAUGAACCGAUAAAAAUAAAUACAUCAGAUGAAUUAGUUCAUACUUGCUGGCUCGUUAAAACACCUGAUACUAAUAAUAAAUCUGUAAUUCUUUUUUUUUCUGGAAAUGGAGGAUAUAUACAGAAGUCUGCUAAUUUUUUUAAUGAGUU